CUUGGCGGCGACAGUGCGGUGGUCCCACCUGACCCCAUGCCGAACUCAGAAGUGAAACGCCGUAAUGCCGAUGGUAGUGUGGGAUAUUCCCAUGUGAGAGUAGGGCACCGCCAGGU
rfam:Actinobacillus succinogenes 130Z, complete genome.